GUUGUAUGGUUAAGUGACUAAGCGUACAUGGUGGAUGCCUUGGCAGUCAGAGGCGAUGAAGGACGUACUAACCUGCGAUAAGCCGUGAGCAGUCGGUAAGAGACAUUACGACUCACGGAUUUCCGAAUGGGGAAACCCACUUAGCAUAAGCUAGGUAUCGCUGCGUGAAUACAUAGCGUAGCGAGGCGAACCGGGAGAACUGAAACAUCUAAGUACCCCGAGGAAAAGAAAUCAACCGAGAUUCCCUCAGUAGCGGCGAGCGAACGGGGAUUAGCCCUUAAGCAUCUUGGAAGUUAGUGGAACGGUCCUGGAAAGGCCGGCGAUACAGGGUGAUAGCCCCGUACACGAAAACAACCUUGAUGUGAAAUCGAGUAGGGCGGGACACGUGACAUCCUGUCUGAAUAUGGGGGGACCAUCCUCCAAGGCUAAAUACUCCUGACUGACCGAUAGUGAACCAGUACCGUGAGGGAAAGGCGAAAAGAACCCCUGUGAGGGGAGUGAAAUAGAACCUGAAACCGUGUACGUACAAGCAGUGGGAGCCCUUCGGGGUGACUGCGUACCUUUUGUAUAAUGGGUCAGCGACUUACAUUUUGUAGCGAGGUUAACCGUAUAGGGGAGCCGUAGGGAAACCGAGUCUUAACUGGGCGUCUAGUUGCAAGGUGUAGACCCGAAACCGGGUGAUCUAGCCAUGGGCAGGUUGAAGGUUGAGUAACAUCAACUGGAGGACCGAACCCACUAACGUUGCAAAGUUAGGGGAUGACCUGUGGCUGGGGGUGAAAGGCCAAUCAAACUCGGAGAUAGCUGGUUCUCCCCGAAAGCUAUUUAGGUAGCGCCUCGGACGAAUACUACUGGGGGUAGAGCACUGUUUGGGCUAGGGGGUCAUCCCGACUUACCAACCCCAUGCAAACUCCGAAUACCAGUAAGUAAUAUCCGGGAGACACACGGCGGGUGCUAACGUCCGUCGUGAAGAGGGAAACAACCCAGACCGCCGGCUAAGGUCCCAAAGUUCUGGUUAAGUGGGAAACGAUGUGGGAAGGCUCAGACAGCUAGGAUGUUGGCUUAGAAGCAGCCAUCAUUUAAAGAAAGCGUAAUAGCUCACUAGUCGAGUCGGCCUGCGCGGAAGAUGUAACGGGGCUCAAACCAGGCACCGAAGCCGCGGAUUCAC
rnacentral:rRNA from 1 species